AUGCUUUGGCAGCACAUAUACUAAAAUUGGAAUGAUACAGAGAAGAUUAGCAUGGCUUCUGCACAAGGAUGACAUGGAAAUUCGUGCAGCAGUCCAUAUUUUU
rnacentral:snRNA from 1 species